rnacentral:rRNA from 1 species
AUUGAACGCUGGCGGCAGGCCUAACACAUGCAAGUCGAACGGUAACAGGAAGAAGCUUGCUUCUUUGCUGACGAGUGGCGGACGGGUGAGUAAUGUCUGGGAAACUGCCUGAUGGAGGGGGAUAACUACUGGAAACGGUAGCUAAUCCCGCAUAACGUUGCAAGACCAAAGUGGGGGACCUUCGGGCCUCUUGCCAUCGGCUGUGCCCAGAUGGGAUUAGCUAGUAGGUGGGGUAACGGCUCACCUAGGCCACGAUCCCUAGCUGGUCUGAGAGGAUGACCAGCCACACUGGAACUGAGACACGGUCCAGACUCCUACGGGAGGCAGCAGUGGGGAAUAUUGCGCAAUGGGCGCAAGCCUGAUGCAGCCAUGCCGCGUGUAUGAAGAAGGCCUUCGGGUUGUAAAGUACUUUCAGCGGGGAGGAAGGGAGUAGAGUUAAUACCUUUACUCAUUGACGUUACCCGCAGAGGAAGCACCGGCUAACUCCGUG